rnacentral:misc_RNA from 1 species
AACGCACCUUGCACCCUUUGGUAUUCCGAAGGGUACACCCGUUUGAGUGUCAUUGUAAUCUCACUUCAAAUACUUUUGUGUUUGAAUGUGGACUUGGAUGUUGCCGUGUUAUUACGGCUCGUCUCAAAUGCCUGAGUGUACCUUGCUUUUGCAAUGUAUCCGGUGUAAUAAACAUUUCACCAGAGCCAAGUCGCAAGACUGCAUUACAGAGUAAGCUCUAUGCUUCAAACUGUCUUUGGACAAUCUCUGACAAUUUGACCUCAAAUCGGGUGGGACUACCCGCUGAACUUAA